AACUGGUCAUCACUCUUCUAAUUUGGAAGCGACUGCCCAAUGUGCGUGAAUCCACUAAGACAAGAGUGGAAGACUAAGACAUUGAGUUUGACAAGUGGAGACACGGUGAGUGGAAUUAUUAGCACACACGAAUCUACCUAGUGGGCCACCAAGGAAGAAAGACACCAGGGAGGAACGAUUUGUGUCGGGUAAUGGUUACAAAGAUCUGAAAUUUGUAACUUUAUAAGGGUGCCCACGGGCUGUUUUUCAGAACCUGAGAGAAUGCCUACCCCGCCAUGUGCUGGAGCAAGCUUGCGCGUUCUUCGAGCAUUAGCGUCUUGCUGGUAGUGCUGGCAUUGGCCAUGGCGCCGAUCGCCCAUCAAAGUGAUGAUCGUAUGAGGAACAUGAAUGAUAGGCCUUGUGAGUGAUUCCUUGUCCACAAUUAAAACUACCAUAUUUCAUAGCAUAUGAUUUUAUUAAAUUUGGAGC
rnacentral:lncRNA from 1 species